rnacentral:misc_RNA from 1 species
AGGCAGGAUCUACAAGUGCUCAGACAAGGGCUCCAGUGCAAGCUGUGGCAGGCACAGCCUCUGUCUUUCUUUUGUUGUUGCUGUAUUUCUUUGUGAUGAACCUGAAGAAAUCCCUCCAUAAUAAUUCAAACAUUAGCCAGUUCAUUCCAUUAUCCGUAGAAUUGCCCUUCUUCUGACUCGAGGCAGAAAUUGUACUGGACACAGUCUUCUUCAGCUCCUCAAACAUAAAACGGGGAGACAGGCAUCCCAUAGCUAACCACGGUGAGAUUUUACACGAGAAAUUAGCCCCAUAGAUGCCAUCCCGACCAGUAUCAUUGUGUCCUUUGUUUGGUUGAGCACAACAUUCAGCUGCAAACCUUUUAAGCCUCUCCAAUGCUUCGGUCUCCCCGCCCUUGAGAGCGGCAUUAACAGCGGAUUUUCCGUCCUGGGACAUCGUCGCCGCCGGAUUGAGCCCUAAAUCAAGCAAGCUGGGAAUCUCCCCGGGCUCGACAUCCCCCCUCGUCGGCAGUCCCUUAAUCUGAUCUGGAGCCUCGAUCGUCUUCCUCAUCGCCAACCCCUGCACCCUCUCCCUAA